CCUACGGGGGGCAGCAGUGGGGAAUAUUGCACAAUGGGGGAAACCCUGAUGCAGCGACGCCGCGUGAGUGAAGAAGUAUUUCGGUAUGUAAAGCUCUAUCAGCAGGGAAGAAAAUGACGGUACCUGACUAAGAAGCCCCGGCUAACUACGUGCCAGCAGCCGCGGUAAUACGUAGGGGGCAAGCGUUAUCCGGAUUUACUGGGUGUAAAGGGAGCGUAGACGGCGGAACAAGUCAGAAGUGAAAACCCGGGGCCCAACCCUGGGAGUGCUUUUGAAACUGUUUGGCUGGAGUGCAGGAGGGGUAAGCGGAAUUCCUAGUGUAGCGGUGAAAUGCGUAGAUAUUAGGAGGAACACCAGUGGCGAAGGCGGCUUACUGGACUGUAACUGACGUUGAGGCUCGAAAGCGUGGGGAGCAAACAGGAUUAGAUACCCGAGUAGUC
rnacentral:rRNA from 1 species